ACGCUCGACACCUACGGGAAGCAGCAGUGGGGAAUAUUGCACAAUGGGGGAAACCCUGAUGCAGCAACGCCGCGUGAAGGAAGACGGUUUUCGGAUUGUAAACUUCUGUUCUUAGUGAAGAUAGUGACGGUAGCUAAGGAGCAAGCCACGGCUAACUACGUGCCGGCAGCCGCGGUAAUCUGAGCGGGCUGGCAAGGC
rnacentral:rRNA from 1 species